CAAAAAGAUGAAUUACUGACGUAUAUAUGCGAAGUGUCAUUGACCUUGAUUUUUGAGGCAUGUGAGGAAAUAUUUUUGAACAACUAAAAUAUGGAUAAGGAUUACUUGUUGCAAAAUAUGAUUGUAAAAUAUGGAUGUUGCAAUACGGAUUUCUUUACAGACGUAGCUACUAAAAAGCAAAUGAAAAUGUCAUUAAUUCAGAAAUUAUUUUGAACUGGAAAUAAAAUUUUAAAGAAUUUUUCUCAGUAGAAGACAAAUUUAAUAGUGAUAUGGACUAUUUAAGACCUGAUGGUUAUAGAAUAACAAUUUUAUUGAUAUAAAUAUGGUAUUGAAAAGGAGGAAAUGGUCAUUUUUUCCUUGACAAGCAAAAAAUAUAAUGACGACUUACCCACUGUCCAGAAUUCUCCGAUAUUGAAACUCACUUCCUUCACAAAUUUCAACUUAAAUUCUUGAAUCCCCAAACUGAAUAAUACUUCCCGAAAUAAAAUAAAAUGAUGUCAAGACAAUGGUCGCUGGAAGAUAAACGUCAGUAGCGGGUGGUGGCGGAAGCUUAAGUGCUCAUCAAUCGUGGUUGCUGCUCCCUGCCCCCUCACGCAGGCGUAAACGGUCAUUGACACAUGAACCAACCAAUAAAAUCCGAAUUCACUAAACAUAUUACCAACCUCAUCCAAAUACUCAGUAAAAAUCUAGGCAAUACCUACUACACGUUGACGCAGAGUUGGUUGCGUACUUAGUGGAAGUUGCUUUUCCUAAUAAAUAUUUUGAAAUGCAUAUUAUUAAGUGACGAUGAGGAUAACUCAUCGUUACAUUCCCCCAUUACUUGGAAGAAAAAAAAUUGAUCUUAUGAAUAAUUUUUUUUAUUAUACAUAUCAGUAGCACAGAGGUAAACUGUCGUAUCUCCACAUUUGAGUAAUUUGUAGAUUAUUUCAUUUUACCACUCAGAAAACCUAAAAUUUGGUUGUGGUAAAACAUAGUAAGUGUAACUGUGAUGGUUUCUCAUCUAAUCAUGUUAGAAACAGUAUUGUAUCCAUAUCGACACGAAGUAAAUAAUAGUAUCUCCUUACGCGGUAGUGUGUAUAGUGUUGCCGUCUAAUUUCAGUAAUGGUAAACAAUAGCAUCUGCUACGUGUCUCGUUUUGUGUAAUACUGUUUAUUUUGUAAUAUAAACCAAAUACAAAGAUAAGUAGAGAAGAAAAAAUUUUGAAAAUGGCGAUGCAAGUGAUGGGAGACGGUAAUAGAUGUGGUAAGUACAAUAUUUAAAGUUACUAAGAAAUGUCUCAAUUAAUAAAUUUUUGAGGUUAGGGUUCGGUAUAAUAAAAAUUAAAAAGUACUAGUUAGGAAAUAAUUUACAGAGAUAAAAACUAAAAUAGAAAGGUGUGGUAAAAUACUUUUAAUUGAAUAAUACAUAAUAAAAACGCUUUUAAUCAUAUAAUUUGAAUCCUACUUUGGAGAUACGACUGUUUACCCCAACUCACAUGUAUUAAUUUUAGGAAAUACUUCAGAUAGCUGUGACCUAAGCCCUAUCCCAGUCUCUACAAAUACACCAAACAUAAUUAUUCACAGCGAUGUCAAGAUAGCCGAUAAUGUGAAAAUUGCAGCGGCCCACGAUCAAAAUGAUUUGGAAUACGAGCAGUUUGAUGACAGCGACGCAGAUCCUGAUUAUAUUUAUUGUAGUGAGGAAGAAUCAGAUUACGAAGAGCAAACUUCAACGAUAAUGGCACAAACUAAAGAGGAUAUUAAUCAGAAGGAAAUGGUACAACAAGCUGUAGAGAAAGCUACAAGAAAAGAGCAGAGGAAACAGUUGAGAAAUGUCGAUGAAUGGCAAGUAACCAAGAAAACAAGAAAAACUUUAUCUGGCAAGGAACAUAUUUCUAAAACGGGAAAUCUGAUAAAACAAAAAUGUAUGAAACCACCUUGCAAACCCUCCAAAAAAA
rnacentral:lncRNA from 1 species